UGGCUGGAAUCCCAGCCCUGAAAUAAGUAAUCUCUCUAUAAUCGUCAAAUUGAUUUUACAAGACGUAGUGAGUAACCAUGAGUUUCUUUCUACAGGCCUGUUGCUGCUGGAUUCCUAUAUGAAUCGUCAGUAGAUGCAUUUUCCCAAUCAGUGUCUUUACAACUACAUUUGAUUCAUUCGUGGAUGUGGCAAAUUUUGGUGAAAUAACACUGUCUUGUCUGUUUUGCACAGCAGUCGAGAUGCACCUCCACUUAUAACUCGACAGGAAACCCUUCCAAGCUGUUUACUUUCGACAUGCAUAGUACACCACCUGUCCAACCUUCUGCAGACGGGCGAUGAGACCGCAGGGGACAAGACAAAAGAUAUCCACG